GGAUUUAGAGACCGGCGCACGGGUGCGUAACGCGUAUGCAAUCUACCUUUUACAGAGGGAUAGCCCAGAGAAAUUUGGAUUAAUACCUCAUAGUAUUAUGAAAUGGCAUCAUUUUAUAAUUAAAGUCACAACGGUAAAAGAUGAGCAUGCGUCCCAUUAGCUAGUUGGUAAGGUAACGGCUUACCAAGGCUACGAUGGGUAGGGGUCCUGAGAGGGAGAUCCCCCACACUGGUACUGAGACACGGACCAGACUCCUACGGGAGGCAGCAGUGAGGAAUAUUGGACAAUGGGCGCAAGCCUGAUCCAGCCAUGCCGCGUGCAGGAUGACGGUCCUAUGGAUUGUAAACUGCUUUUGUACGAGAAGAAACACUCCUAUGUAUAGGAGCUUGACGGUAUCGUAAGAAUAAGGAUCGGCUAACUCCGUGCCAGCAGCCGCGGUAAUACGGAGGAUCCAAGCGUUAUCCGGAAUCAUUGGGUUUAAAGGGUCCGUAGGCGGUUUAAUAAGUCAGUGGUGAAAGCCCAUCGCUCAACGGUGGAACGGCCAUUGAUACUGUUAAACUUGAAUUAUUAGGAAGUAACUAGAAUAUGUAGUGUAGCGGUGAAAUGCUUAGAGAUUACAUGGAAUACCAAUUGCGAAGGCAGGUUACUACUAAUGGAUUGACGCUGAUGGACGAAAGCGUGGGUAGCGAACAGGAUUAGAUACCCUGGUAGUCCACGCCGUAAACGAUGGAUACUAGCUGUUGGAAGCAAUUUCAGUGGCUAAGCGAAAGUGAUAAGUAUCCCACCUGGGGAGUACGUUCGCAAGAAUGAAACUCAAAGGAAUUGACGGGGGCCCGCACAAGCGGUGGAGCAUGUGGUUUAAUUCGAUGAUACGCGAGGAACCUUACCAAGGCUUAAAUGUAGAUUGACCGAUUUGGAAACAGAUCUUUCGCA
rnacentral:rRNA from 1 species